rnacentral:piRNA from 1 species
UGUUUCUGUUUCAGAAGCCCCUCUCU